UCGGACUCAACGCCGGGAAACUCACCAGAUAAGACAGCUGAAUGAUAGUCGGGCUGAAGACUCUACUUGACUAGCUGAUAGGAGGUGCAUGGCCGUCGUCAGUUCGUACUGCGAAGCAUCCUGUUAAGUCAGGCAACGAGCGAGACCCACGCCAACAGUUGCCAGCUCGUCCUCCGGGAUGGUGGGGACACUGUUGGGACCGCCUCUGCUAAAGAGGAGGAAGGAAUGGGCAACGGUAGGUCAGCAUGCCCCGAAUUAUCUGGGCUACACGCGGGCUACAAUGGGUGGGACAAUGGGUAUCGACACCGAAAGGUGAAGGCAAUCUCCUAAACCCAUCCGUAGUUCGGAUUGUGGGCUGCAACUCGCCCACAUGAAGCUGGAAUCUGUAGUAAUCGUGUCUCAAAAUGGCACGGUGAAUAUGUCCCUGCUCCUU
rnacentral:rRNA from 1 species